rnacentral:lncRNA from 1 species
AUCAACAGCACAGAUCACUUUUUCCCCAGUGCCAUUUGUGCUCUGCAGGCCCAGUGGGUGCCCCUACUAGAGCCUUGUACCCUGAGCCCAGUCCCUACCUGCCUUCUGGAAGAUGUUGGCUCCAGAAUUCUCUGCCUCCCUCCUGCAGGCAUUGUGGCAUUCACAGCUGAUUUGCAGAGAGCCCAGAUGCAUCUCAUAAAUAAGGAAUGUACUGUUCUGCAGGACGGCUGUGGCGUGGCUGUGUGGGGGUGGGCAGGCUGGAGUAGACAGGAACCACGAGAGGCAGGGAGGACUGUACAGGGGUUGCUGACCAGGUGGAAGAUGAUGGGAGCCUCAGAAGGUGUCGUGGGACAGGGUCAGGGAGAGGGCUCUAUGCGGCCAGGAUCUGGAUGCAGAUUGUUGAGACUGAAAUUUGGCUCAGAUCCCUUCUAGUUGUGUCUGUUUAUCUUCAGUUUCCUUGUCUAUAAAAUGGGGAGAGAUUGUGUGUCCCCGGCAUCACUGGACUGUUAAUAGCUAUUGCAUUUAUAGCAUUUAUCCCAGAACCUGAAACACAGUAAAUGCUCAGUAAGUGUUAUUAUUUGCCCCAAACUGUCUUAGUGCUUUCCCCAAGAGCUUUGUGUUGUUUGUACUAUGAGGAAUAAUGAGGGUGGUGUGGGAGUCGGCCUCUGUGUCUGCAGAGAGGACCACAGGCCACAGGAAUAGAGACAGGUAGAUAGGAUCAAGGUGACAGGAACAGAUGUUCAGAGCAAGAGAUGAAGACGGCAUCAUCAACCCAGACAAGCCAGUGCUUUCUGAGAAGCCCUCCAGAACCGCAGCAUUGGAAGCUUCAAGAUUUAGUCAUUCUUCUGGCAAACAUAUGUGGAAGGCCUCCGGGGUAGCACACCCUUCACCGUGCCCUGGAGAUGCUGGGAUGCGACAAAAAAGUAGGCUUCUCCCAUGAUGAACCUCACGGUUGGAGGCAUCUGUCCACCCAUGUGGUUCCAGACACGUUCAUGUGGCCACCAUGACCCCGUCGGCAUCACAGGGGUAACCAAGGUCCACAGAACGAGGGGAAAGGGUCACUGUGGAUCAAGCCAGGCUCCUCUGAGCAGUCCAGGGUCUAUUUACAGAGAGCAGCAAGUUCCUGGGACAGAGGAGACAGAAGGGAAUUUCCAGGUUCUUCAGGACGUUCACAACCACACUGAGAAGCAUCUUUGCAGAUAAGUAUUUAAACUUACCAGCCCAUAGCCUACCAGCCUGCCCUCUUCUGGUCUGUGCAGGAAAGUGUAGUAUCCUAGAAUGCCAAAGUGGGAGGGGAAAUGGGUGAUGUAGCUCAUUCUCUUUUCUACCUCUAUGGAAGAAAGAAAGAGCCUGUCCCCAUUUUGUGGGGUCCCAGAAAGGGUGAUUUUCACACUUCACAUUUGGCGUUAGGGCUAGUAUUUCACAAACAUUACCGUCUGGAACUUUUGAAGGCUGAGUUAAAUGACUUCAUCUUGUGUACUUGUAGAACUGCUAUUAGAAGGAGGCUGGGGACUCCCUGAUGAUGUGAACCAGCCCUUCUCUUCUCAGUUUCAGCACUUUGUGAUCAUAUUUAUAAACCUUGGACAGGGCUCCUUGGCCUUAGAGUUAAGUGAAGAGUUAACACUGUGACUUUAGAUGCAUUUUUCUCAGUGUAAGUGUCUGAGCUCAUCUCCAGUUCUGGACUCGUGCCCCCACUCCCGGGUGCUGACAGCAAGCUCUGAAGAUAUGCUGAGAGAGCUCCCUGACUCUCCUGACUCAGGUCUGCCAGUUGAUGAAGACAGCACAGUUGUUACCAAAAACAAAACCUGGCAGAUGGUCCUAGGUCAGGAUUAGUGGUCAUUCUCUGGUCUUCUCCAGACUGGUGACACAGGGUGGUCUUAAAAGAGUCCUAGUCCAGCCUCUGGCUCCCCGAAUUUCCUCUGGUGCAUGGGGCAUCAGGAAAGGGCAGGGGAGAAGGAGGGGGAGCAGAAAAAUAACUGAGGCUGGGCAGAAGGGUCCCUUCCAUUUCCCAUCCAUUGCUUCAAACAAUGGGUGAUUACCGUGCACCUUGAGUGAAUGUCAAGGCAGGAAGGGUUCCAGGGCCACCCAGUGUGGCAGGAGCAGAGCUGGGAUCAGAAUUCUGGAUUCCUGACUCUCCGUUCAGCUGCUAUUCAGCUAUCACCAAGCUGCUGAGUUUGUCCUACUUUCUCCUGGGUCACAUUCUGCUGUUGUUGGGAAACAGGGAGUGAGUGAAGGGAACCUGGGAACCCUUCUCCCCUCACCUUUUAAGGAUGUUCUGGGGUGGAAUAAAGAGAGGUGGAGGGUGGGGUGCCUGGGCCCAGCCUCCCUGGCUCCUGGUCCUUCUUUCUUCAGCAGGGAGUUCUGGCAAGGCCUGGGCCUGGGGAGGGGGCCUGGGUGCAGUUUUCUCCUGCGGUGUGGUUGGCUCUUUUGUCUUCCAGGAUGGGCCUGUGGGGUCUGUGUGGGGAAGGAAGGAGCUGGGAGCCUGGGCUGCCUGUGUGUCGGCUGGAUGCUGCCAGGUGGCUCCAUCUGGGCCGCAUCUCCAGGACUCCUGGCCUGGACUUCUCUUUGGACCUCGGGUGACCUUGGAUUCUGGCCACAGUGACUUAGCGGUCAGACUCCGGUGGUUUUCUAGCCCGCUGGGUGACUCCCUGAAGAUCUCAUCCUCUUCACACCUGUUGGGAUGGAGCCUCCCAUGGAUAGGAACUCUUCCUGGUUGAUGCUCAGCAGAUGACUGAUCUGGCUCUGGAGGACAGCUCCAGGGGUAUGAGGGAGGCCUGGCAGCCCACUACUCCCUCCUCACCUGCUCGGGCCCUGCCUGCUGGGCCCUAUUGUCUGGGUCUGGGGGCCCUUUCCUGCCCCAUGUGAACUUGAUUCCUCCUCGCGUUUCUGCCGGUGACCAGACAGAGCCUGGCCUGGGCCAAGUCCCCACUGACCACACUUUCCCCAAGGCUGGGUCUCAAAGGACCCUACAGGAUGGGGACAGGAACAAGGAUGGGAGUCGGGGAGGGGCUGUCAGGCAGAGGGCAGAUGCAGCUCCUCGGGUGCCGCUGGCUGGAGUCCUUUGUCUCCAUUUGCUCAGUGCGUAAUUGUCAUUUUGUGGGGGACUUCCUUGGUGGGGCUUUUCCAUGCUUUUCCUCUCCCUGAUGGUUACAAAGAGGAGACAGUCAGGAUCUGGGAGGAGCUGGAGCCUUCCCCCUGUGCUGUUGAACUCUGGGAGGGGCAGCCAGAGGGGCUGAGAGUGCACCAUCCUGAAAAGAGAGGGUCUUUAAGAGAUAAGAUUUAGGCUAGGGAAAUUCACUAGAAAGAGACAGGUGGCCCUGGGUUUUUUUUCCUGCCAUCCAAAGGGAACCAGUCUUACCCAAAGGCUUAAGGGGUCACCUUAGCCCAGUCUCAGGACACUCUUCUCCAAUCAGAUCGCUGCUUCUAGUUGCACUGCUCCUGGAUUCUGUUCUUGGGGAACAGAAGGUGGCAGGACAGGCCCCACAAUCUGCAAUUCCAGCUCCCUCCAGAGGAGACAGUCCCAGCGUUUGCAAGAGAGCAGCUUGUGGCCUCCCUUAGGCAAGUUUAAAAGCCAGAUGUCCUUUUUCCCAGAAUGCGGAGUGGUGUGUACUAUUCAUCAGCUUGGGCUGCCACAGCACCAUGCCAGACUGGAUGGCUUAAACAUCAGGAAUUUAUUUUCUGCCAGUUCUGGAGGCUGGAAAGUCCAGAUCAAGGUGUUAAGACUUGGUUUCUGGUGAGGCCUCUCUCCUUGGCUUGCAGGUGGCACCUUCUCACUAUGUCCUCACAUGGCCUUUUCUCUGUGGAGAGGGACAGAGAGCAUGAGCAGGCUCUGGUGUCUCCUCCUCUUCUUAUAAAGACACUAAUAUCACCAUAUUAGGGCUUAAACCUAUGACCUCAUUUAACCUUAACCCCUUAAAGGUCCCAUCUCCAAAAACAGUCACAUAGCAGGCUACUGCUUCAACAUAUGCAUUUGGGGGAGGGGACACCAUUCAGUUCUUAACAGGGUGGUCACCGCAAACAUGGAAAGUCAGAGCCUUCUCCCCUUCAGAAUUCCCGCCCCCACCCAGGGAUGGGGAGGAGGAGCAGAGAGGUAUGGGAAGCAGACACGGAGAGUGGCAGGUACCAUGCUGGGGUGGCUCAGGAGUGCUUCGGAGGACAUAUGGAACUGGCAGGGCUCAGUGCAGGGAGGCGGAGGCCCUGGGAGAGCCGUGUCCUGAGAAGGGCCUGGGCUACAACCCUGGGCAAGUUACUUCACCUCUGAGCCUCCGAUGCUCUGUGAAAUGGAAGGAAUGUGCUUGCCUGUCAGGUGCAGGGAGAAUUCAGUGAGAUUGUGUGCCUAGCACAGUGCCUGACUCCCAGUAGGUGCUCAGCAAAUGCUCCCAUCCAUCUGGGAGUAUAGACUUAGGGUUUAUCUAUUUUUUUUUUUUUUUGGCUCUCUGGACUUUAAAACUCAGCAUCUUCUGAACCAGAGGCAUUUCUGAUUAGCCCUUCCCUACCUAUUUUCCUAGUAUCACUCUUUAAUCAGCUUGGGGAGGUGGCAGCAUUUCAUGGCCUCCGUAGUAACUCACAAUGCUUCCUGGGGUAUUUAAAUUCUACUCUCUCAUCAGCACUGAGCACCUACUUUGGGCCCUUUCCCGUGCUAGCCAUUUGGGGGAAAUAUAGGUGAAGAGUGGCUGGGGUUUGAACCUUUAGGAUUUCACAGCCAUGCUGGAUGGGAUAAAACCAGCUCACAUGGAGAAUCAGAGAAUGGGACAGUGCCACAAAACAGUCUACUGAGGCACAAGUUCUGAGUGCCUGGGAAGUGGUAGAGAGACCCCAGAGAGGGCUGCUGCAGUCUGGAACAGCUUCCUAGCAAGCUGUACCAAACAGGGCCUUGAAGGAUGAGAAAGAUCUGGCUGAGAUGAUACCCGACCCUCUAGGGAAAUUCUUAAAGUAACUUCUAGGAAAUGUCAUUGCUCCUUAAAAAAAAAAAAAAAAAAAAAAAAGCAGGUUCUAAUUCAAAUUCCGCUGCACUACUGAAGUAGUGCAGGACUUAUCAGAACCUUUAAAAUGCUAAUGGCAAUUUCAAAUACUCAGGGACAGGGCAUAGGAUGAAGUGUUCCUUGACUUUUAUGGCCGUAGAAUCUUUUUCUCAUGGAACAUCGUUUAGAACUGUGGGAGAUGCUAGGCUGGGGUUUCUAUGGGAAAAGUACAGCAGUGAUAGAAGAUGGCAUAAUUAGGGUACACUUAGGUGCUUUGUAGCAUUGGCUGAAAAGGAAGCAGACCGGGUGGGCGUGGGGGAGUCUCAACUUGGUUCCAGGAGCCAGGCCAGCUUGAUGCGUUUUUUUUUUUUCUAAUGGUGGGAGGGCAGGCCAAUAGUUGGAGAAACUAGAGGCCUGACAGUCGGUGAUGGAAGAGAUGUCUACUAAGCACGGUUGUCAGAUCUUUUGCGGAGAGAUGCGGGUGUGCGUGUGUCUGUCAGAGUGUAACAGGAUCCAGCCCUCUGGGAAGGGGCUGACCAGAACCAGGCAGGGGGUUUCUGUCUAGGACAAGUAGGGUCCAUUUUCAGGGGAGCUGAAAUAUUUGCAGGGGGUGCUCUGAGACCCACAGCCAAUAAAUAGGGAAGCAACAUGCUUUUGGGCAGGGUCCAUGUGGUUAGGGUUGAUUUUGAUGGGGCUGGGGGGCUUAGAGUUAGACCCCCUGCCCUGGUCAGGCCCCACUCCCUGGCUGGUGGGGGCGGGAGGCCUCUGAAGCUGCAGCUGGAGGGGCCGGGGCAGUGUUGCAUGGUGUGAUUAACCUACUAACCCAGGGCUCAGCCGGGACGCUGUGGCGUGUGACGAGGUGCCUGGCCUUCUGCCAACCAACUAACCCACUAACCAGGCCCGAGCAUGCCCUACUAACCACCCCCCCGCAGCCAGAUCCUACUAACUGUGCAGCUCAUGGGCCUUUCAAGGGGCUGGGAUAUGGGGGCAGCCAAGGCUCCAGAAGGCUCUGCCUAUGGGCUGGGAUCUUUGUGCAGACCCACGUUCCAGGACAGAGAAUGCAAAUAAGACUCACCAACUCUGCCACUUCCUGUUGAGUGAGUUUGAGUAAGUCACCUCACUUCUCUCAACCUCAGUUUCCUCAGUGGUAGAAUGCGAGUUCUGAUACCUUACAGGUUGCAGUGAGGAUUCCCGUCAAUAUAAGGGUCUCAGCACAUGGCAGACACCUAAAAAAAAAAAAAGUAUGAGGAUGGAGGAAGGCCCCUCAAACCUGGUUGAACACGUCUGCUGCCUAGGCCCUGGCCUCUCUGGGUGUUCUGCACACAGAUCCUUCUGCCUGGGGCAAGACACUUGGCUUUGAAUCCAUGUCACUUCCCCACAUUCUUCCUCCGUCUCAGCUUUCUUUUCUGUAGGCAGCUCUUUUGUUCGAUUACUAACCCGUCUAACCCCUGGGGUGCCUCAACUGCACCCCGAUCAUCCCUUAACAAACUAACGGACCUGCGUGCGUUCUUCCUUUUCUCUUAGCGACUCCUGUGUGUGUCUGCUGAGGUGCCCUGUCCGCUGGUGCUGUGCUCUGACUUACUAACCCAGCCCCUACUAACCCUGUUUUCUCUUCUUACUAACCCCAGCCCUGCCGAGCUCUGGGCUCCCCCCGGGGGCUGGUCCCCCUCCUUUUGGCAAGCAGAUGACCUGGGGCUACUGGCCCUGUAGACAGAUGUCCCACUUUGCUGCCCCAUAUUGGCUGUAAGAUCAGAGUCCACUGGGCCAGGUCUAAGGCAGGGGAUGGCCCUAUUAACAAGACUCAGAGGAGGAAGAGGUGGUCCUGUGGAUGUGGGAGGCUGGACUCUGAGUAUGACAUCUCUCCUAUGUGCAGAAGUCUGGUUGCCACUGGGAGUAGGUGGGACCAGGGAAAUCUCUGGGACGUGAGUGUGGAGGCCUGUUGGUCUAGACUCUAGACUGUGGAGCUCUGAGCUUUUGUGUCCUCUGGAAGGAAGCUGGGGAAGAAUCCUCUCCAUUGUUAAGUGACGGGGAUAGAAGCUGUCCUGCACAGGAAGUCACGAGGGGGGCGUAUCCCACGAGGAAGGCAGGAGGGGGCGUGCCCCUCACCGGAAAUUAGCAGAGGGGCGUGUCCCACACCGGAAGUCAGAAAGCGGAGCCUUUCUUACACCGGAAGUCAAUGAAGCGGGUCUUUCCUACGCUAAAAACCACUGAGUGGAGUAUUUAGUACACAGGAAGUCGGC